rnacentral:rRNA from 1 species
CCUACGGGAGGCAGCAGUGAGGAAUAUUGGUCAAUGGGCGCAAGCCUGAACCAGCCAAGUAGCGUGAAGGAUGACUGCCCUACGGGUUGUAAACUUCUUUUAUAAAGGAAUACAGUGAGGCACGUGUUCCUUUCUGUAUGUACUUUACGAAUAAGGAUCGGCUAACUCCGUGCCAGCAGCCGCGGUAAUACGGAGGAUCCAAGCGUUAUCCGGAUUUAUUGGGUUUAAAGGGAGCGUAGGUGGGUUGUUAAGUCAGUUGUGAAAGUUUGCGGCUUAACCGUGGAAUUGCAUUUGAUACUGGCUGUCUUGAGUACAGUUGAGGGAGGCGGAAUUCGUGGUGUAGCGGUGAAAUGCUUAGAUAUCACGAAGAACACCGAUUGCGAAGGCAGCCUACUAAACUGCCACUGACAUUGAGGCUCGAAAGUGUGGGUAUCAAACAGGAUUAGAUACCCGUGUAGUC